AAAUUGAGAAAACAGAAACCCUAAUCUCCUCUAACCCUGACAGCCGCCGAAACCCCCUUCCCCCAAACUUAGCAGCUUAGACGCACAAACACUGGAGAAACGAGAAACAGAGAGAACGGAGAGUGCAGAGAAAGGAGAUGGAGUCUGACGCAGUCGCCACCUCCGUCGUGUGUCACCAUCGGUCAUUGCUGCUGAGCUGUCGUCGGAAAUGGAACCGCGGAGAGAGAGAGCCAUCCAGCCACCUUGCCAGAGCCGUCGUUUGUGCGCCGUCGCCGUUGAAGGAGGAAGCUGUUCAUGCCUAUCGCAGUCCCAUGGAGUCCGCGCUGCCAUCACGAGUGAGAGAGGGAGGCGUUGCUGCUUGCGCCGCCGCCUUGCCUCCGUCACCGCUGGGGUUUCGUUGCUACCGCCGUUGGUUCACCAUGGAGGAGAGUGGAUCUGAGGAGAGAGAACUCGAGGAAGAGAAGAACACGAAGAGGAGGAACUGGGAUCGUUGUUGUCACCACCGCUGCUGAAGACUAGCCCCCGCCCCGAGAUUUUACCGUCACCAUUCUACCCGGCGUCGCCAGCACUGAAGUCGGCCACUACCACCGUCGAGCCUUGUUGGAACUGGUGUUGCUUCUGGAGGUUUGGAAGGGAGGCUUGCUCGGAUCUGCUUCUGGUCCUGGUUCUCGCAGCUGCCGGAGCCUCUGCUGCCAUCAGCGCUGCCAUUAAAGCUAUUGAUUUGGUCCCAAUUCCUCCAUUUUUGAGACCUGCUGCUACUCUAUUUUCCCUGUUUACUGCUAGAACUAUCAUAGGGGAUACUGUUAAACUGUUAGAGCUGCUGUUGUUGCUGAUGCGAGUUAGAACGAAAUUGGAGUCACGUUUAAUUUUGUGGGUUUCGACUAACUGAGUGACACAGGUACGAAGAUUCAGUUUGAAGUUGCGGGCAAUUCUAGCAUUUAUUUACGAGUUAAGUUUAUGACUUGAGUUUCUUUCAUAGAAUUCCCUCGCCUUUGUAGCUUUAGUUUUUAU